rnacentral:lncRNA from 1 species
AUCUUCCACGCCCAAAGGAGCUUGGGAGUCCCUCUUUGCUUGCUGAUUUUUAGUCUCUCAUUGCUUCAUAAUUAAGAGAAAAAAAGCAAGAGAAGAAAAGAAGAAGAAGAUCAAGGAAAGGAUUAAAGAUUUGAUCGCGAUCCAGACUUCAUUCAGAUUCGUAAGUUGAUUUUUCUUAGAGAAGAAAAAUCAAUACCAAAGAGGACUAUUCCAGACUGAUCCUGAGUAGAUACCCA